rnacentral:rRNA from 1 species
AACGAACGCUGGCGGCAUGCCUAACACAUGCAAGUCGAACGAGACCUUCGGGUCUGGUGGCGCCCGGGUGCGUAACGCGUGGGAACCUGCCCUUAGGUUCGGAAUAACUCCCCGAAAGGGGUGCUAAUACCGGAUAAUGUCUUCGGACCAAAGAUUUAUCGCCUUUGGAUGGGCCCGCGUUGGAUUAGCUAGUUGGUAGGGUAAAAGCAGACCAAGGCGAGGAUCCAUAGCUGGUCGGAGAGGCGGAUCAGCCAGACUGGGACUGAGACACGGCCCAGACUCCUACGGGAGGCAGCAGAGGGGAAUAUUGGAGAAUGGGCGAAAGGCUGAUCCAGCGAGGCCGCGUGAGUGAUGAAGGCGUUAUGGUUGUAAAGCUCUUUUAACCGAGAUGAUAAUGACGGUACCGGGAGAAUAAGCUCCGGCUAACUCCGUG